rnacentral:rRNA from 1 species
GUGGAUGCCUUGGCACUAAGAGCCGAUGAAGGACGUGAUAAGCUGCGAAAAGCUUCGGGGAGGAGCAAAUAUCCAUUGAUCCGGAGAUAUCCGAAUGGGGAAACCCGGCAGAGAAGACCUCUGUCAUCCAUACGCCAAUCCAUAACGUAUGGAAGGGAACCCGGUGAACUGAAACAUCUAAGUAGCCGGAGGAAAAGAAAGAAACAUCGAUUCUGGGAGUAGCGGCGAGCGAAACCGGAGGAGCCUAAACCAGCGUGCGUGCAUGCUGGGGUUAAGGACUGCAACAAGUGACCGGAAGGUUAACAGAAUGGUUUUGGGAAAGCCAGCCAUAGAGGGUGAAAGCCCCGUAUGUGAAAACCGGAAGGAGCGGCAGGAUCCAGAGUACUACGAGACACGUGGAACCUUGUAGGAAAUCGGGGGGACCACCCCCCAAGGCUAAAUACUCCUUAGUGACCGAUAGCGCAUAGUACUGUGAAGGAAAGGUGAAAAGGACCCCGGGAGGGGAGUGAAAGAGAACCUGAAACCCUGUGUUUACAAGCUGUGGAACAUCAUUAUUCGAUGAACCGCGUACUUUUUGUAGAACGGUCCGGCGAGUUACGCUUACUGGCAAGGUUAAGCACUUCAGGUGCGGAGCCGUAGGGAAACCAAGUCUUAAGAGGGCCAGAGUCAGUAGGAGUAGACCCGAAACCGGGUGAUCUAUCCAUGUCCAGGUUGAAGCUGCCGUAAGAGGUAGUGGAGGACCGAACGCACAUCCGUUGAAAAGGGUGGCGAUGAGGUGUGGAUAGGGGAGAAAUUCCAAUCGAACCCGGAGAUAGCUGGUUCUCCUCGAAAUAGCUUUAGGGCUAGCCUCGUAUUAGUCUAGUGGAGGUAGAGCACUGAAUUUCCUAGGGGGCGUCAAAGCUUACCGAAGAAUAUCAAACUCCGAAUGCCAUAUAGAUGAUGUACGGGAGUCAGACUGCACGAGAUAAGUUGGGCAGUCAAAAGGGAAAGAGCCCAGACCUACAGCUAAGGUCCCAAAGUGUGUGUUAAGUGGAAAAGGAUGUGGGAUUUCGAAGACAACUAGGAUGUUGGCUCAGAAGCAGCCAUACAUUAAAAGAGUGCGUAAUAGCUCACUAGUCGAGAGGUCCUGCGCCGAAAAUGUCCGGGGCUGAAACACAACACCGAAGCUGCGGAACCCGCAAGGGUUGGUAGAGGAGCAUUCUUAAAGGAACGAAGCAGUACCGUAAGGAGCUGUGGACUUUUAAGAAGAGAGAAUGCCGGAAUGAGUAGCGAGAGUAAGGUGAGAAUCCUUACGGCCGAAUAUCCAAGGUUUCCAGGGUAAAGCUGAUCUGCCCUGGGGAAGUCGGGACCUAAGGCGAGGCCGAGAGGCGUAGCCGAUGGACAACAGGUUGAGAUUCCUGUACUACAGUAUGACAGAACUGUGGGGACGCAGAAGGAGAGCACUACCUGGAAUGGAAUCCAGGGGCAAGCACAGGAGGGGUACGGCUGGAAAAACCGCCGUGCAACCCAAAGGUGUGACGCAUACCGAACUAAAGUAGGGAAAUGUGUGAGCCGGCUGCCGAGAAAAGCCGCUAUUGUUUGUACUGUACCCGUACCGUAAACCGACACAGGUGGAUGAGGAGAGAAUCCUAAGGCCGACGGAAGAAGCAUUGCUAAGGAACUCGGCAAAAUGACCCUGUAACUUCGGGAGAAAGGGUGCCUCGAAAGAGGCCGCAGAGAAUAGGCCCAAGCAACUGUUUAGCAAAAACACAGGUCUAUGCAAAACCGCAAGGUGAAGUAUAUGGGCUGACGCCUGCCCGGUGCUGGAAGGUUAAGGGGAGAUGUCAGGAGACGAAGCAUCGAACUUAAGCCCCAGUAAACGGCGGCCGUAACUAUAACGGUCCUAAGGUAGCGAAAUUCCUUGUCGGGUAAGUUCCGACCCGCACGAA